GGUUGCGGUGGCUUGUUUGAAGAGCCCGCAGAUCCAUUAUCAGCGUUGUGUUCCCUUCUGUCCGUGCUUCCGCUUUAUUCCUCAGCAGAAUGAGCCCAGCUCAAUAAAUGGCGGCCAGUCUGUAAUCUCUGAGCAAACUAGCCGACCUCUCCCAGGAGCUGAGGAUUAUUUCCUAAUGAUUAGCGCUCAUCUGGAUACUGUUUUUGCCCGACUUCUUUGCCUUGUAUCGAGACAAUGGGGCCAUGGGGGGGAUAAGUUUAGGUCCAAAACACUUAGAUGCCAUUUUCUUCUUUGCCCUUGCCUUUGUUUCUUUGUGGACUUAUGGCAUUUCAGCUCAUUAGGACUUAUUUGUUUUGAUGAGGCAUAAUCCGUUACGGAGUAAUUUAUAGCCGGGUGGCUGUCAGUGCAUCCUUUUAGAUAUCCUUUGACUUCUAUACGAGACACCGCCCAUGCUAUUUUAAAAUGUUUCUCAGCUCUACUUCAGAGGUCAAAGAGAAAAAAGGGUUUCUUUUGGUCCCCACGAAUCAUAACAAUCUCACAUGGCCCUCCAAGUGACAUCAUAUCUCAUGACAUCUUUUGGUGUGGAUACCAAUUCCUAAAGUGUGGCUAUUGUCAAUCGUCUCUAAAGUUCCACGAAUACAUUCUAAGAAAAUAUGACAAAGACCCAUCCGUUACUUUGGUCAUAUGAUAUCUUUGCAUGCUUUAAACUACAGCACCCAAGGCCAAAGCCAGCUAGGUUUGCUUGUUUUAGCGCUAAUUGCGUCCUGUGAUGAUGCUGUGCUGCAGCUGCUAGCCAGUGUGAUGCUUCCAGAGUUGCGGUACAGAUGCGCCGUGGCCUGGGGAGUCAGUCUGGAAAGGGCCAGACAUGGUCCAGAUUCCCCGGAGAGGCCUGCACCCGUUCACAUCUGUCUCUUGUGCUGAAGAUGCAGGACCAUCUGGCUAGGAAGAUGUGCAGACUGGACGGGCGUCUUUCCUGAUCUCGCCGUUGCUGGCAGGCGUGUGCAAUAUGGCAAUGCAAUGGAUCAGCACAUAUAGGACCCUCAAUCCUCGAGUGCUUUGCAAGUGAAACAAGCAGUACCCCCAAGCAGUGACGCGGGACUUUUCAACGACGAUAAAGGCAGGCAAGGUGAUGAUGAACAGAGCGACUGGUUCUUCGAGGGCGACUUGCAGCAGUCUUGUCCUGCAUUUGCAAGCAGCUCCCAUCACAAUUCCAGAGAUGAUCACUUGUGCCCUUAAGCCGCCUUUCUGUAGCCUGAACGGCUAACUCGGAGAGGUUGUGCACCAUCGUUUUGGCUCUCUCAGACGGCUCAAUAUAUCCUGACUGGGAAAAUCCCAAAUAACUCAAAUUCUAUUUUGGUCAUUGUUAGUUUUGUAGUAGGUGUGAGUAUAUGUACAGUACAUUGUAUUAAUUUCAGUUGCUUUUCUGCCAUAUGUCUGGCCAUUUUCUGUUUUUUAAGGGGCCACUAAGCAUCAUAUUCUGCCCUCUGUUGCAGGCUGUCGUUCAUGUUUAAACUGUUUGCCCCGCCCUGCUGGCACAAGCAUCAACAGGAAUAGGCUUCUCAGUAGGGUACAUUAACGUGUUGUUCAAUUCACUGCCUACAUGAAAUAAUAUUUUUCUUUCAGAAUGCAUAAUCUUACAUCGGCUGAGACAUCUUCCUCAUUAUCAACAAUACAGACCAACGAUUUUUUGAUUGUUUUUCUUCGUCUUACUCAAAUCUUAUUCUCUUUAUUAUUCUGUCUCUUUUAGUUGCAGACAUAUUUAAUUAAAGGUGCAAUUCUGUAUUUCCUUACCAUUCCCCCCUAGUUCGCAACAUGUAAACAUCACUGACAAUUUCAAUAUUAAUUAGGAGCCUCUGUCCCCUCGUAACAGGAUGUCCUAUUGGCAAAUUGUCCAAAAGCUCUCCUCUCUGCCCUAUGUUGAACCUCAGCCAUUCUGUCGAACGUGGUCGUUGACGACUUGGUCGAAUCUUCUCGCAGGCCUAUUGGAGAAACAAUUCAUUCUUUUCGGAUGAAGCUCGAUAUAUUGAUGAACAUGGACUCCCUUAAAUGCAUCCACUCCAGUGUGCAGAUCGCUGUUAAUUAGAGAAAUCCACCGUAUGUUAACACCAUUACUUUGUGUGCUUUUUCUCUCAUUUAAGACGAACAGAUGCCAGAUGGUCUUUAAUUCUCUACAUGGUUUGACGUGGUGUUUAUUGCUGCAUGACUUUGAUAAUUUAUGAAUAAGUGAUGCUGAAAGUCAGUGGCAUCCCGUCAGGGCCAGCAAGGCCUUCUCUGCUGGCCUAAACAUUCUCAGAAAAGUAAAUUUAUUCAAUUUACUUUUCUGAGAAUAUUCCGAGAAUGUUAUUUUCAUAAAUAUGUCAACAAAAUUAUUCUCUGUAUUCUUUAUGUCAUAUUAUUUCCACUUAGUCGAGUGGCUCUCAAUGUUAUUUAAAAUAACAUUGAAAGCCACUCGAUAAAUAACUUAUUUAUUAUGGUAGAGUUUUUAACCAAUCAUAUUUCAGAUAGCUUGUGUUGCCAGGUAAACUAAACUUGCUCGGGGACUUCAGAUUAAACAGAGCAGGCCCCUGUGCACUGUAAAUGAACGGACACAGUCAGUUUGCAAUAGCCAAUCAGAUCACGAGUCUGCGUACGGGGCCAGCUCGAAGGGUUGACGUCGACACUGGACGUGCGGGUUCGGUGAUUGGAUUAGCACCUGCUACAGGGAGCUGUUGUUGCAUUUUGACCCAAAAUGGCCGAAGGCGAAGACGUUGAUCUGGUUGCAGGACUACUUUGCACC